UACGUAGGGUGCGAGCGUUGUCCGGAAUUACUGGGCGUAAAGAGCUCGUAGGUGGUUUGUCGCGUUGUUCGUGAAAACCGGGGGCUUAACCCUCGGCGUGCGGGCGAUACGGGCAGACUUGAGUACUGCAGGGGAGACUGGAAUUCCUGGUGUAGCGGUGGAAUGCGCAGAUAUCAGGAGGAACACCGGUGGCGAAGGCGGGUCUCUGGGCAGUAACUGACGCUGAGGAGCGAAAGCGUGGGGAGCGAACCGG
rnacentral:rRNA from 1 species